ACGAAACUCCGAANCCGAACGCACGCCGUCCAGCAAGAAAUCCACAAAACUUUCAACAACGGAUCUCUUGGUUCUCGCAUCGAUGAAGAGCGCAGNAAAAUGCGAUACCUAGUGUGAAUUGCAGCCAUCGUGAAUCAUCGAGUUCUUGAACGCACAUUGCGCCCGCUGNGAUUCCGNNNGANAUGCCUGUCUGAGCGUCGNUUCCUUCUUGGAGCGGCGCUUUGACCUGGCGGGCUGUCUUUCGGGACGGNGCGCUCAAAGUCAGGGCCUUUCUGUUUUAACUAGACUGGGGGGGGGGGUUGGAUUAUGAANUUAUUNCCAAGCUCGACCUCAGAUCAGUGAGAUACACCCGCUGACCUUAUGAAAAUCACUANNUGNAGCAANGUAAUAAUUAUUUC
rnacentral:misc_RNA from 1 species